GACUUCUGCAUUAACAGAAGUCUGCUAAAAUUGUGAGAUUCAGCUUGCUGUUUCCCGCAAUAAUGCUAGCAGACUACCGCGCAGAAGAAGAUGAAGCUCACCGUGCUGGAAAUGAGACGCGGUCGAACCUCUUUCUUAAUGUUCGGUGGCCUCUGUCUCAAGGCUCGGUGAUACAAAA